rnacentral:lncRNA from 1 species
CUAUUUAUACACAUUUAGACCAGUAUUUUCGUAUCUUACACUUCAUUCAUAUAAGGACUCUUUCUUUUUAUUUAUUUUAUUUUUUUACUAAUUUUUUUUUAAAAAUGUGAAUUUUAGAAUAUAUGGAGUGUUAGAUAUAUAUUUAUAUAGAGAGAGAUAGUUUGUCUACUAUAUUUUAUGAAUAUAGACCUUUUUGUACUCAUAAAUUUUUUUUUUGAAAAAAUGUACUUAUAAAUUUUUGACUAUUAGAUUUACUUCUUUGGUCAUUUUCACGCUUAAAUCAUGCCAUUCAACCAACCAUCCACUUAACUCUAAGGGACCACUAUCAUCCUAGCCGCACAUCUCUUCAUUCAAUAGUCGAAAAUUUAUGAGUACAAAAAAGUCUAUACUUAUAAGAGUAUAUACAGUAGCUCUGGUAUAUAUAUAUAGAGAGAGAGAGAGAGAGAGAGAGUCCGACUGAGAUGUUCCUAAUAGUACAACAUUUAGUGCUAUCAACUUUUCUAUUGUUAGAUUUACCUUUUUGAUUAUUUCAAUCUGCUAAAUUAUACUAUCCAACCAACCAUCCACUCAAUCCGAUGGGACUACUAUCAACUUAACCGCACAUCUUUUCAUCCAAUGACUAAAAAGCCUAAUAGCACGAAUAACUUGGUGUUAUUAGAAGUAUAUAUAUUCCAGUCUAAUUAUAUAUAUAUAAUUGAGCUCCUAUAUUUCUAAAAGUAUCAAGUUAUUGAUGCUUAUAGAUUUUCGGCCCUUGGAUUAAGGGCUAUUUGGUUAAGACGAUAAUAAUCUCUUAUGGUUGGGUGGGUGGUUAGUUUAAUAAU